rnacentral:rRNA from 1 species
UACGUAGGGGGCAAGCGUUGUCCGGAUUUAUUGGGCGUAAAGAGCUCGUAGGUGGUUCGGUAAGUCGGAUGUGAAAUCUCCAGGCUCAACCUGGAGGGGUCAUUCGAUACUGCCGUGACUAGAGUUCGGUAGGGGAGUGUGGAAUUCCUGGUGGAGCGGUGAAAUGCGUAGAUAUCAGGAGGAACACCGGUGGCGAAGGCGGGUCUCUGGGCAGUAACUGACGCUGAGGAGCGAAAGCGUGGGGAGCGAACAGG